rnacentral:rRNA from 1 species
GACGAACCGUGCGAACGUUAUUCGGAAUCACUGGGCUUAAAGCGCGUGUAGGCGGGUCGCCACGUCGGAUGUUGAAAUCCCCCGGCUCAACCGGGGAAUAGGCACCGAUACGAGCGGCCUGGAGGGGAGUAGGGGGACCUGGAACUUCCGGUGGAGCGGUGAAAUGCGUUGAGAUCGGAAGGAACGCCCGUGGCGAAAGCGAGGUCCUGGGCUCUUACUGACGCUGAGACGCGAAAGCCAGGGGAGCAAACGG